GGGNNUGCCUCAGUAACGGCGAGUGAAGCGGCAACAGCUCAAAUUUGAAAUCUGGCUCCUUCGGGGUCCGAGUUGUAAUUUGUAGAGAGUGCUUCGGGGGAGACCGCGGUCUAAGUCCAUUGGAACAUGGCGUCAUAGAGGGUGAGAAUCCCGUAUGUGACUGUGGAUCGAACCCAUGUGAAGCCUCUUCGACGAGUCGAGUUGUUUGGGAAUGCAGCUCAAAAUGGGUGGUAAAUUUCAUCUAAAGCUAAAUAUUGGCUGGAGACCGAUAGCGCACAAGUAGAGUGAUCGAAAGAUGAAAAGCACUUUGGAAAGAGAGUCAAACAGUACGUGAAAUUGUUGAAAGGGAAGCGCUGGCAACCAGACCUGUCCGUAGGCGAUCAGCCGCUGUUCUCAGCGGUGCACUCGCGCUGCGAUCAGGCCAGCAUCGGUUUUGGCGGCCGGAUAAAGGCCUUGGGAAUGUAGCUCCCCUUCAGGGGAGUCUUAUAGCCCUCGGUGCAAUGCGGCCAGCCGGGACCGAGGACCGCGCUUCGGCUAGGAUGCUGGCGUAAUGGUUGUCAGCGACCCGUCUUGAAACACGGACCAAGGAGUCUAACAUCUAUGCGAGUGUUUGGGUGUUAAACCCAUGCGCGGAAUGAAAGUGAACGGAGGUGAGAACCCUUAAGGGCGCAUCAUCGACCGAUCCAGAUGUCUUCGGAUGGAUUUGAGUAUGAGCAUAGCUGUUGGGACCCGAAAGAUGGUGAACUAUGCCUGAAUAGGGUGAAGCCAGAGGAAACUCUGGUGGAGGCUCGCAGCGGUUCUGACGUGCAAAUCGAUCGUCAAAUUUGGGUAUAGGGGCGAAAGACUAAUCGAACCA
rnacentral:rRNA from 1 species